rnacentral:rRNA from 1 species
GACGAACGCUGGCGGCGUGCUUAACACAUGCAAGUCGAACGGAAAGGCCCUGCUUUUGUGGGGUGCUCGAGUGGCGAACGGGUGAGUAACACGUGUGUAACCUGCCCUUGACUUUGGGAUAACUUCAGGAAACUGGGGCUAAUACCGGAUAGGAGCUCCUGCUGCAUGGUGGGGGUUGGAAAGUUUCGGCGGUUGGGGAUGGACUCGCGGCUUAUCCGCUUGUUGGUGGGGUAGUGGCUUACCAAGGCUUUGACGGGUAGCCGGCCUGAGAGGGUGACCGGCCACAUUGGGACUGAGAUACGGCGCAGAAUCCUACGGGAGGCAGCAGUGGGGAAUAUUGCACAAUGGGCGGAAGCCUGAUGCAGCAACGCCGCGUGCGGGAUGACGGCCUUCGGGUUGUAAACCGCUUUCGCCGGUGACGAAGCGUGAGUGACGGUAAUGGGUAAAGAAGCACCGGCUAACUACGUG